rnacentral:rRNA from 1 species
ACGAACGCUGGCGGCGUGCUUAACACCUGCAAGUCGAACGGAAAGGCCCUGCUUGCAGGGUACUCGAGUGGCGAACGGGUGAGUAACACGUGGGUGAUCUGCCCUGCACUUCGGGAUAAGCUUGGGAAACUGGGUCUAAUACCGGAUAGGAACCAUCUUUAGUGUGGUGGUUGGAAAGUUUUUUCGGUGUAGGAUGAGCUCGCGGCCUAUCAGCUUGUUGGUGGGGUAAUGGCCUACCAAGGCGGCGACGGGUAGCCGGCCUGAGAGGGUGUACGGCCACAUUGGGACUGAGGUACGGCCCAGACUCCUACGGGAGGCAGCAGUGGGGAAUAUUGCACAAUGGGCGCAAGCCUGAUGCAGCGACGCCGCGUGGGGGAUGAAGGCCUUCGGGUUGUAAACUCCUUUCGCUAGGGACGAAGCUUUUUGUGACGGUACCUAGAUAAGAAGCACCGGCUAACUACGUG